rnacentral:snoRNA from 1 species
AUCACGAUUCGCACUCCAAAGAGCCACUAGUGCCCUUCCCAAGAAUGCAGUAACGUGGAAGGAAAGCAAGCAGGACCAAGGGACCUGGGGAGAUGGGACAGUAUUCCUUUGCCUUACUUUGGCUGCCAGUGUAC